rnacentral:lncRNA from 1 species
CAGUAUGUAAGAGACCUAUUUAUGAUGCUUCCUCUCAAUGCCUCAGAAGCUGCAGUCUCCACAUUCCUGUUGAUUGGGAUCCCAGGGCUUGAGGGUGUGCACAUUUGGAUCUCCAUCCCUAUCUGCCUCAUGUACCUCAUGGCUAUCCUGGGAAACCACCAUUCUAUUUGUCAUCAGGACAGAGCCUUCUCUGCAUGAGCCCAUGUACCAUUUCCUCUCCAUGCUGGCAUUAUCGGACCUGGGCCUGUCUUUCUCUUCUCUUCCCACCAUGCUUAGGAUUUUUUUGUUCAAUGCCAUGGGGAUUUCCGUUGAUGCCUGCAUUGCUCAGGAAUUUUUCAUCCAUGGAUUCACAGACUUGGAGUCCUCGGUACUCCUGAUCAUGUCUUUUGAUCGCUUUGUAGCAAUUUGCAACCCCCUGAGAUACCGCUCCAUCCUUACUAGCUCCAAAGUUUUGUACAUUGGGUUAGCAUUUGCUUUUAAAAGCAUUCUCCUAGUUCUUCCCCUCCCUUUCACUUUAAAGAGACUCAAAUACUGUAAUAAACGCCUGUUAUCCCACUCCUACUGCCUCCACCAGGACAUCAUGAAGCUGGCGUGCUCUGACAAUAGUUAACUUCUACUACGGUCUGUUUGUUGCACUCUGUAUGAUGUCAGACAGUAUGUUAAUUGUUGUCUUCUAUGUGUUUAUUCUGAAGACUGUAUUGGGUAUUGCAUCUCACAGGGAAUGGCUUAAAGCUCUUAACACCUCUGUGUCCCACAUCUGCGCUGUGCUCAUCUUCUAUGUGCCCAUCAUCACCUUGGCUCUCAUGCAUCGCUUUCCCAAGCAUACACCCCCUGUGGCUAUGAUUCUGAUGGCUGAUGCAUUCUUGCUGAUACCACCCUUGAUGAAUCCCAUCUUGUAUUGCAUAAAAACUCAGCAGAUUAGAGUGAAGGUUCUGGAAAAAUUGGAAAAACUG